AGCGAACGCUGGCGGCAGGCCUAACACAUGCAAGUCGAACGAAGCCUUCGGGCUUAGUGGCGGACGGGUGAGUAACACGUGGGAACGUACCUUUUGGUUCGGAAUAACGCAGAGAAAUUUGCGCUAAUACCGAAUGAGCCCUUCGGGGGAAAGAUUUAUCCCCGAAAGAUCGGCCCGCGUUGGAUUAGGUAGCUGGUGAGGUAAAGGCGCACCACGCCUACGAUCCAUAGCUGGUCUGAGAGGAUGAUCAGCCACACUGGGACUGAGACACGGCCCAGACUCCUACGAGGGGCAGCAGUGGGGAAUCGUGCGCAAGGGGCGAAAUCCUGACGCAGCCAUGCCGCGUGAAUGAUGAAGGUCUUAGGAUUGUAAAAUUCUUUGACCAGGGACGAUAAUUACGUUACCUGGAGAAAAAGCCCCGGCUAACUUCGUGCCACCCGCCGCCGUAACAC
rnacentral:rRNA from 1 species